GAGCACGUAGGUGGGUUUGUAAGUCAGAUGUGAAAGCCUUCUGUUCAACGGAAGAAUUGCAUCUGAAACUGCAAAUCUUGAGUAUAGGAGGGGAGAAUGGAACUUCUGGUGGAGCGGUGAAAUGCGUAGAUAUCAGAAGGAACGCCGGCGGCAAAAGCGAUUCUCUGGCCUAUUACUGACACUGAGUGUGCGAAAGCUAGGGGAGCAAACGGGAUUAGAUACCCCGGUAGUCCUAGCCGUAAACGAUGGGCACUAAGUAGAGGGGU
rnacentral:rRNA from 1 species